UACGGAGGAUGCGAGCGUUAUCCGGAUUUAUUGGGUUUAAAGGGUGCGUAGGCGGUCCGUUAAGUCAGCGGUAAAAUUGCGGGGCACAACCCCGUCGAGCCGUUGAAACUGUCAGACUUGAGUUGGCGAGAAGUACGCGGAAUGCGCGGUGUAGCGGUGAAAUGCAUAGAUAUCGCGCAGAACUCCGAUUGCGAAGGCAGCGUACCGGCGCCACACUGACGCUGAGGCACGAAAGCGUGGGGAUCGAACAGG
rnacentral:rRNA from 1 species